AAUAAGAUCAUUUUUCAGUUUUUUAAUACAAUGAUUUGACUCUUCAUUUUAUUUGAAUUUUUUUGCGAUUAAUAUUUUUAUUUUUACUAGAUGAUAAAAUAUAAAUAAUACUUUAUGCUUGACUAUUUUUUUUAAUUUUUUGUACAACUUUUUUAAAUAAGACUAAUAAUCAAACUUUGGACACGGAAAAACA
rnacentral:pre_miRNA from 1 species